rnacentral:rRNA from 1 species
GUAGUCUCGCACAGAUGCAUAUCAAUAAGCGGAGGAAAAGAAACUAACAAGGAUUCCCUUAGUAACGGCGAGUGAAGCGGGAAGAGCUCAAAUUUGAAUCUUGAAAGGUCACCUUUCACGAAUUGUAGUUUAAAGAAGUGUUUUCUGUUACGAUCGUAAUAUAAGUUCUUUGGAAUAGGACAUCACUAGAGGGUGAGAAUCCCGUCUAUGACAUUGCGAUUUGUAGCUUGUGUGAUACACUUUCAAAGAGUCGGAUUGUUUGGGAAUGCAGUCCCAAAACUGGGAGGUAAAUUUCAUUCUAAAGGCUAAAUAUUGGCGAGAGACCGAUAGCGAACAAGUACCGUGAGGGAAAGAUGAAAAGAACUUUGAAAAGAGAGUUAAACAGUACGUGAAAUUGUCAAAAGGGAAGCGUUUGACACCAGUGUUGUUUUCUCGAAAAUCAAUUAAAAAGAGUUAGAUUUUGUUGUGUAUUGACCUUAACAGCUUGCAUUUCAAUUUUCUUGCUUUUUUAAUGCACUUUUCGUUUAACAAGUCAACAUCAGUUUCUUUUGUUGUAAAAAGGUCAUUGGAAGGUGGCUUUCUUUUCGGAGAAAGUGUUUAUAGCCUUUGACUCCUGCAAUCGGAGAGACUGAGGUCUGCAGCGUAGAUCCUUCGGGGUUAGAUACAUUUGUGCUAAGUUAUAGCUUUUUAUAGACAACUUGUUGACUAUGAUUAGUCUUGUAGUUUACUCGCUUAUGCUAUUUUACCUACGCUUAGGAUGUUGAAGAUGUAGCACAUCAU